rnacentral:lncRNA from 1 species
CGGGCCCGUAACAUCUGCCCUUCUGUCUCGUCUUAUGAGAGGAGAUUUCCCACAAGGAACUACAUGACCCAGAGCCUUUGGGGCCCUUCAAUGUCUGUCAGUGGUGGCAUCAAUGUCCCAGCGGUGUCAUCCUCUCCGCUUUUUGCUAAUGCUCCAGCUGAGAAAGGAGGCAAAAACUUCAUGGUUGAUUUCCUCAUGGGUGGUGUUUCAGCUGCUGUUUCAAAGACUGCUGCUGCUCCCAUUGAGCGUGUCAAGCUGCUUAUUCAGAACCAGGAUGAGAUGAUCAAGGCUGGUAGGCUGUCUGAGCCAUACAAGGGUAUUGGUGACUGCUUCAAACGUACCAUCAAGGAUGAGGGUUUCUCCUCCUUGUGGAGGGGUAACACUGCUAACGUUAUCCGCUACUUCCCUACUCAGGUAGCCCUCGCCUUUCUUCACUUUCCUUAUGCAUGGUAGCAGAGUUUUAUUUUAUUUUCCGUUGUUAGCUGUUGUAUACCGAACAUAUGUUUGUUCGGUACUCCUGUGAUUACUAUCUUUUUUAUAGCAUCCCUUUUUUGUCCUAAGGUUGUUUUAGAAACCAGACCCUUUUUCUCUAGCUGUGUAUAAAGUUAGAAACUAGAUCUGGUUCCUUGAUAAUCCAAUUAUUUUGUUUUCUGUUUUGUUGGUGGGUAAGUUUUAUUUAUAUUCUUACCUUAACAUUUGUUUUUCUUUGUCCUAGGCAUUGAACUUUGCAUUCAAGGACUACUUCAAGAGGCUGUUCAACUUCAAGAAGGACAAGGAUGGUUACUGGAAGUGGUUUGCUGGCAACCUUGCCUCUGGUGGUGCUGCUGGUGCGUCCUCCCUGUUUUUUGUGUACUCCCUGGACUAUGCGAGGACAAGGCUGGCCAAUGACGCAAAGGCAGCCAAGGGAGGAGGUGAUAGGCAAUUCAAUGGUCUUGUGGAUGUCUACCGCAAGACUCUAAAGUCCGAUGGUAUUGCUGGGCUUUACCGUGGGUUCAACAUCUCUUGUGUUGGAAUCAUUGUGUACCGUGGUCUGUACUUCGGGCUGUACGAUUCUAUCAAGCCAGUUGUCCUUACCGGCAAUCUCCAGGUUUGGUCUACUGCCAUUCUGUUUCUCUUUAGCUCAGUUGCUUGGGGUAUGAGCGCCCUAAGCUGUGUUUUUAGUGAUACGAGAGUAAGUUUGUUUUUGUUCUUUGCAGGACAAUUUCUUUGCCAGCUUUGCCCUGGGUUGGCUGAUCACCAACGGCGCUGGUCUUGCAUCUUACCCCAUUGACACUGUCCGCAGAAGGAUGAUGAUGACGUCUGGUGAGGCUGUCAAGUACAAGAGCUCCAUGGAUGCCUUCCAGCAGAUCCUGAAGAAGGAGGGCCCUAAGUCAUUGUUCAAGGGGGCUGGUGCCAACAUCCUCCGUGCCAUUGCUGGUGCUGGUGUGCUUUCUGGCUAUGACCAGCUUCAGAUCCUCUUCUUCGGGAAGAAGUACGGCUCGGGCGGUGCUUAAAUGAAGAAAAAUGAUGACGAACAAGAGCAGUUUGUUCCCGGUCCUGCCCAAUCAGGAUCUGGUGAAGUUUUUGCCUUUCAUAUCCAAAAGUAAUAAUUCAUGUAGAGGGAGGAUUCUUCCAACAUUCG